rnacentral:lncRNA from 1 species
CAGAGAGACAGCCAGGGAGACAAUCGGCAGAGGUGGGAGACAACCCAGAGGAGGAGACAAUAUUUACACACCACACAUCUCAUGGGGCCCCUGUGCAAAACACAAGCAACUCAAACUCCUCCAGAGCGAGAAAACAACCCACUAGAAGGGCUUAAGGCGCCUGUGUGGACACCUCAGAUGAAGACAUGUGAAUGGCCAGCAGGUCUAGGAAAAGGUGCUCGUCAUCACUCAUCAUCAGGGACAUGCAAAUCCAAACCACAAGGCACCCCUCACGCCUGCUAGAGUGGCUGUUCCCAAAAAGACACAUGGAACGAGUGUUGGUGAAGUGAAACUCUGGAGGGAUAGAGGGAGGGAAGGUUGAAAAACUGCCUAUUGGGUACUAUCCUCAUAUCCUGGGUGAUGGGUAGAGUCAUACCUCAAACCUCAGCAUCACUCAAUAUACUCAUGCAACAAAUCUGCACAGGUACCCACCGAAUCUAAAACACAAGUUCAAAUUAUAAAAAAAAAUUUAAAAAGAAGUAAAUAACAUAAGUAAUAAUUAAAAACCCAGUGGAACUCAUGGUAGUAGUGAGUAGAAUAGUUACCAGGGCUCGGGUAGGGGUUGGGAAGAUAUAGGUCAAAGAGUACAAAUUUCAGUUGAAGGAAUCAAUUCAAAAGAGCAAUUGUCCAACAUGGUGACUUCAGUUCAUAACAAUGUAUUGUAUACUUGGAAACUGCUUAAAAAAAAUUAGAUUUCAAGUAUUCUCAAAACCAAAAAUGGUUAUUAGUACAUGAGGUAGGGCAUAUGAAUAUUAGCUCAAUUUAGCCAUUUAACAAUGUUUGUAAUACUACAAAGCAUAUUAUGCUAUAUGCCAUAAAUAUAUACAAUUUUUAGUUUUCAAUUAGAAGCAAAUUAAGUUU